ensembl:lncRNA
CACACACACACACUAUGAGUCAUUAUGUAAUAGAGUUGCAUGAAAACAUAAAGGAGACAGAGGAAAGAAGAGAAUAAUAUAGAGUAUGUAAUCUACAUGUUCACUCUGAUGCACAAGCACACACAUAUAUGUCCCUAGAGUGACCACUAAAGACUAGUAUCCACUUGUUUUUGACCUAAGCCAAGCUAUAUUGAAAUUGCUCAUGAGCAUCCUGAUGAAAAUGCAGUCCGGUCCUUUUAGGGAUUUUAGGAUGUGCUUCUCAUCCUAUGAAUACUAUAACCCAGAUUUAACAUCAGACUGCCCUUCUAUCAACUGGUUAUGGCUUGUCCCAAAUGGCAUCCUAUCCACUAUAUGGGCCGGGGUCAAAAUAAGUGCACUAUGUAGAGCAGGGGUGCUCAACUCUUACCCUACGAGGUCCAGAGCCUGCAAGUUUUUUCUUCUACAUGAUAAUUAAUUGCACCCACCUGGCGUCGUAGGUCAAAAUUAGUCCCCGAUUAGAGGGCAACAAUGAAAAAACACAGUGGAACUGGCUUCGAGGUCCAGAGUUGAGUUUGAAGGAUAUAUGGAAUAGCGUGCCAUUUGGGACACAACGUACAUCACAAUGUGAAUUGGAACAGUCAUAUUUCAUGUUUAGUAGACGGUAGAAUCGCUUAACGCGGUUACGUAACUGUUGCCCUACCUUCCUGGGCUACGUUGUAGUAUGUCAUGGAUGGAGAGGAGAUGGGGGUUAUUGUGCUCCUGCCUGUCUGGAAGCUCUUAUCAUAGGAAGCCAGGUUGUCUGCCCCACGUAGAACACUGAGAAAGGCUUUAAUUAAUAAUAAUUGAUUAUAGCUCUUUUCUACCGAGGAACUCAAAGCACUUUACAUAGUAAGGGGAAAACUCACCUCCUCCACCACCAAUGUGCAGCUUCCACCUGGGUGAUGCACAGCAACCAUUUUUGUGCCAGAACAUUCACCACACAUCAGCUGAUAUAUGCCAAUUAGGAAUAAGAGGGAUGAUGGAAUGGGGAAUUUAGGCAUGACACCAGGGUUAACACCUCUACUCUUACAAUAAGUGCCAUGGGAUUUUAAUUGACCACAGAGAGUCAGGACACCCGUUUAAAGUCCCAUCUGAAAGACGGUGGUAUGCUGCUGGCUUACCUCUGAAGCUAAGCAGGGUCGGCUGCUUUAGUGCUGAGGAUUUAGAACAUAGGCUACCACAGUGCACAACCUUUCCCUGAAGAAUUCAAAAGUUAGUGUAGGUUAUAGGAAAAGAGGGCAUUCCUUGGCCCCCAUUGUCCCCCAGAGACCCGUGAAUGAUAUGUCAUCCUCCCAUGAAAAUAUACAGGUUUGGUUUGGACCGACAGAUCACUUUCACUCACAGAUAAGUCCACAGGGCCAGUGCAUGUGUAAGAGCCAGUGUAGCAGACGUGUAUCCAGUCCAGAUAAAAUAGACACAGACAGCGCAAAUCAACAUGCCUGCAUCAUUUCCCCCUCUGAUUCCUUUCUUGUCUCAAAUCUAUCCUCUUAAUAUGCCGCUGAUAUUGUUUCAAGAUGCACUCCCUCAUCGAGAUAUGCUUCCCAUGUACAAAAAUAGUGGUUUUAUGCUAGAUUUGCAAGAUGGGUUCAGUCUUUUUAUAUGUAGUGCUAUAUUAAACCAAGAGAGGGCAGGAGUAUACAGACACACAACCACACACCACCAAUUUCUCAAUGACCAGUGGGAAAAUAACUAUCUCUACCUACCACAAUGAGCACACACAUAGGUCAAGUAUGAUCUAUCCAAGCAAAAAAAAUAAGCACCUAUUAGCUAAACAAACAACAAGCAAUGUCUCUUAAAAUGCUAUAACAAGCAUCUGAAUUUUUAUAAUAUAAAAGAUAAUGAUUUUUUUCUGUUACAUCAUCUGAAAAUGUCAUACGAUUAACCAGGUUCCCAAUCAACCAUUUGAUGCGGAUUAAUUACCUGACACAAGAGAGAAGUCACGACUGGGCUGAUGGAAACAGGAAAUGCAGGAAAACCGUUACAGAAUCACCCACCACAACAGGACCAAGCGCCGUGGUAACGGGCAGCAGCAGGAGAGGCAGCAAUGUCUGGACUAUACUACUUGGGAGGAAAUAGACAGGUGGGCGGUCGACCCAGGAGGAGUGCCGGAGCCCGCCUGGGAUUCGCUGGAGCAGUGCGAAGAGGGGUACAGAAGAAUGGAGUUGGAGAAGCAAGCACGGCGGCGCGGUAGGAAGCCAGAUUGUCAGCCCCAAAAAUGUCUUGAGGGGGAGCACACAGGAAGUGUGGCGAAGCCAGGUAGGAGACCUGCGCCAACUUCCUGUGCUUACCGGGGGGCUAGAGACACCGGGCAGGCACCGUGUUAUGCUGUGAAAGGUGUCCCGGUGCGGUACAUUCCAGCUCCGUGUAUCGGCCGGGCUAGAGUGGGCAUCGAGCCAAGUGCCAUGAAGCCGGCUCUAUGCAGCUGGUCUCCAGUGCGUGUCCUUGGGCCGGCUUACAUGGUACCAGCCUUGCGCACGGUGUCCCCGGUUCGCCUGCAUAGCCCAGUGCGGGCUAUUCCACCUCGCCGCACUGGCAGGGCGACCAGGACCAUUCAACCGGGUAAGGUUGGGCAGGCUCGGUGCUCAAGAGCUCCAGUGCGCCUGCACGGUCCGGUCUAUCCGUCACCACCUCCACGCACCAGCCCUCCGGUGGCAGCCCCCCGCACCAGGCUGUCUCUCCGGCUCAUCCUUACAGAGGCUCCCGCCUGUCCGGCGCUGCUGCCGGAGUCUCCCGCCUGUCCGGCGCUGCUGCCGGAGUCUCCCGCCUGUCCGGCGCUGCUGCCGGAGUCUCCCGCCUGUCCAGCGCUGCUGCCGGAGUCUGAGGCGCCAGAGCCCUUCAGCCCAGAGGCGCCAGAGCCCCUGCCCCUCUGUCCCGAGCUGCCGCCCCUCUGUCCUGAGCUGCCGCCCCUCUGUCCCGAGCUGCCGCCCCUCAGUCCAGUGGGGUCAUUAAGUAGGGUCGCCGUGGCUAGGAGGCCACGGAAGCGGACAAGGUGGGGGACUAAGACUACGGUGAAGUGGGGGCCACGUCCAGCACCAGAGCCGCCACCGCGGACAGAUGCCCACCCAGACCCUCCCCAAUAGGUUCAGGUUCAGGUUUGGGGGGGUACUGUCACACCCUGACCAUAGUUUGCUUUGUAUGUUUCUAUGUUUUGGCUGGUCAGGGUGUGGUCUGAGUGGGCAUUCUAUGUUGGAUGUCUUGUUUGUCUAUUUCUAUGUCUGGCCUGAUAUGGUUCUCAAUCAGAGGCAGAUGUUAGUCAUUGUCUCUGAUUGGGAACCAUAUUUAGGUAGCCUGGGUUUCACUGUGUGUUUGUGGGUGAUUGUUCCUGUCUCUGUGUAUUGCACCAGAUAGGACUGUUUUAGGUUUUCGCACGUUUGUUGUUUUGUUAGUUUAUUCGUGUACAGUUUCUUUAUUAAAGUACAAUGAAUAACAACCACGCUGCAUUUUGGUCCGCCUCUACUUCACCUAAAGAAAACCGUUACAACUUGAGUAAAAAUCUAAAAGUAUUAGGUUUUAAAGAUACUUAAAGAUGCACUAUGCAGAAAUUGCUCCGCCAUUUCCUGGUUGCUAAAAUUCUAAAAGUUUGCCUAAUUUCAGUUUAUGUGACAAAACAAGCAAGUAUAGUGUAAAGAA